AUCUUCAAUUCUUGCAAGGCUACCAAGGAUCUAGUAAAUCCGGUCCUCAAACAUGCCAAUCUUGAAAUCUGGAUGAGAUUUACAGUAACGAGGGAUGGAAGAUCAAACUGAGCACCUCCCAACACUGCCUCAUCACAUUCUUUUAAAUUUAAUUCACGGAGAGAUGCAAGUUUUGGAAGCCCACACAUCAAUCCCGGACAUUCUAACACUUCAAGCUCUACUAGGGACUGCAGGCAUUUCGGUAAUUCCCCAAUCAGUUUUGGACAUUUCCUUAUCAAAAACUUUUCAAGAUGGGGAAAUGUUCCCACAUCUUCCUUAAUGAGAUUAGAAUGAGACCAACUUUCCCAUUCUGGCAUAUCCUCAAACCUCAACUCCUUCAAAGAUGCAAAAGGAUUCAUACUCUCUCCAUAAAAUUCAGCACCUAUGCUUUUAACUUCGCUCAUACCUUCAAUACACAAAACCUUGAGCAUCGAUAGCCCACCCAGAUUUGGUAAUAACGUGCAUUUUUUGCAAUUUUUGAGAGUUAGUUCCACCGUUACUGAGAAUGAGGGAUCUCCUAACCAACUUGGAAAUUUGGAUCCACCAUAAAAUGCAAUUGUGAGCCUUCUUAAAUUUUCACGAGGCUGCAAGGACUCCAAGACACGUAAUUCACGUUUAUCGUUUCGUGCAUCCCAACAGUCAUUACUCCACUGCAUCGUCAACUCUUCAAUUUUUUUUUUAUCUUUUAAAUUAGCAGCUCUUGCCUCUCCAACAUCCACUACCUCUUGCAACCCAGAAAUAGAAAGCACUCCUUGGAGGUUCGAACAAUUCUUGAGUUCUUCAAUUCCGACCCCUCUACUUUUGCUCACAAUGAACCUAGUCAACACUUGCAAAUUUGUGAGGUUGCUUAAUUGGAAAGGCAUUUCUAGUUGUUGACUUGUACCCGUAAUAUCAAGGUGCCGAAGGUUUUUCAGCUUUCCAAUCCCUGUAGGCAAUUUGGUAAGUUGACGACAACCACGUAAUAUCAACGUUUGUAAAUUAUAAAGAUGGCCCACUGAAUUAGGUAGACUUUGUAUAUUAGAUUCGGAAAAAUUGAGAUAACGCAGAUGUAUUAACUCACCAAUCGAACUUGGUACUUCACCCAUGCAAUAACCAGCCAAAGAUAGUACCCUUAAGCAUCUCAUUGGCAUUAUUAGGUCAUGUACCACCUGCUUAGAUAUAUAUCCAAAUGGAUACUUCAUGAUUGAUAAUACUAUUAACGUGCGUAGGUUCUUCACUUUAUCAAAGGCUUUAAAUUUUCCAACAACCUCGUAAACUUGCCGAGUGAAACCUGAAUGACGAGCUCUUUCACAAAUAGUAUGUUGCUGAUUAUUUUCAAUUUUUUCCUCCAAAUUAAAACAUACACCUCCAGCAACGAAUUGAGCAAGAUCAUGAACAAGAUCAUGCAUCACAAAUUGUGAUGAACUAUGAUUUGAUUGUUGGAAAAAUGACCUUGCAAAUAAUUCAUGAAAGAAUUCGGUGCCUAUCUCCUCCAUUUGCUUCUGUCUAUUUACUUGAUGCAAGAAUCCCUCUCCCAUCCACAGCAAGACUAAUUCAUCCACAUCGAAUUCGUAGUCCUUCGGAAAUAUAGAGCAAUAAGCAAAGCAGCACUUCAAAUGUGAAGGAAGAUGAUGAUAACUCAAUUUGAGAGCUGGAAGAAUAGUGUUAUUCUCUUGAUCUGGUAAGUCCCAUAUCUUGCUUUUCAGUAUAUCCUCCCACGCAUCACGAUUCAGUUUUGUGCGCAACAUUCCUCCCAAGGCCUUUGCAGCCAAAGGUAGCCCUUUGCACUUUUUCACUAUUUCUUCACCAACAACUCUCAGGUGUGGAUGAUUAUGGAAGUUUCUUGUACCUAAUGCUUGCUGGGCAAGCAAAGACAAGCACUCAUCAUUGGAUAACUCCUUGAGGGGAUAGGCUGAGCUGGCUCCGAUGGCUGAUACAACCCCUUGAUUACGAGUUGUGACAAUAACCCUGCUGCCUUGUGCUCCAGUCCUCAUUGGAGCGUACAAAGUAUCCCAUUUAUCACAAUUCUGAUUCCAAACAUCGUCUAAAACAAGAAGAAACUUUGUUCCAGAGAGUUUCUCUUUCAGUUUGACUUGAAGCAGGUUGAGAUCGUUGAAAUCGGACAUAUCAGAAGCAACAGACUGAACAAUUGUCUUUGUUACCCUCAAGACAUCAAAAUCAUCAGAGACACAAGCCCAAACUCUUAGAUCAAAAUGACUCUCCACUUUGUCAUCGUUGUAGGCAAGCUGAGCAAGAGUAGUUUUGCCCACGCCUCCCAUGCCAAUUAUGGGAAUGACACGGACUGCGUCAUCACUUGGCUCAUGAUCGUGGAGCAACAAGUCGAGUAUGGCUGCUUUAUCGGUUUCCCUACCACAAACACGCGAUUCAUCUACCAAAGAAGUGGUGGGUAGUAUUUCUGUUGCUUUGGCGGACCUUUUCCCGGUAACUUUUUCAGUUAAAAGGAGAUUAUUUUGCUGUGAAGAAAUAUCUUGCAACCUUUCAGUGAUCUUCUCUAUCUUGGACCUCAUCUUAACAUUGAACUUAAUAGCACUUGGAGUGAAGCUAGUACAACAAGAAGGGAUAAGGCUCCGGAACUUACUUGUACUGGGUUGAGUUUCCGCCAUCAACUUCCGCCCCAAAGCUUCAGUGGCCAAUUCGUCCAGGAUGUCCUCCACAUCAUAAGCCAAGUCUCUGAGGUCGUCGAGCCAUAUCUUCACCACUUGGUUUUCCAUCUGCUUCUCCUCCGCAUCCUCCAGCACGGCAUGAAUUUUCUUCAGUGUUUUCUCCCACUUGUUGAGCUCAGCAUGAACUUGCACUUGGCGAGCAUAAUCGAGCAGGUCAGAAGAGAUCAACUCGUCCAACAGAGUCUUAAAGAAAGAAGAGAGAAAAGCCUCUCCAACAAAAGCCAUGGAAGCAAGUACGAGAAAUCAAAGGCAGAGAAACGACUCAGAAUCAGAACAGCACAAGUAGAAAGUCAGACAAGGUUGGUUAUGGAGCAAUUAUAGAUUACAAUGUCAUUCCUCUUUGACCACACCCAUAUUCAUCACUUUGUACGGUUGAGAUCCUCCAAUCAAAUUGUGAUUAUAAUCACAUAUUUGAUGUUAGCACACUGUAUUAAGAUUCCCUUUUAUUAAUCUAAUGAUACUUAACAACUCCUGCAAUUGAUCUUUUAUUAAUACUCAUCACAUUAAUUAAAAAUUCAUCUAAAAUGUAAGGAAUCUCCAGCAAAUUUCUUGACGUGUGUAUGCAUAUUUUUAUAUUGCAAGUGGGUUUCCCACUCUAUAUUUUAGAUUAAUCUUAACAGCUGCCCUUUGUCCCCAUCUAAUUUGGAUCAGGAAUAUUGUCGGCCAACCAGAAAACUAUCUGUUUUUUACUCUUCAGAACAGAAAAUAGAUUUUUUUUUUAUUGUUUUCAUUUAUUUUUGAAUGCUAUUUUAAAAAAAUAAUUAUACGAAUAUGCAAAAUAAUUAAAAAUAAAACAUUAGAUGUAGAAAUUAUUUUUAAAACAUAUUUAAAAAUAUUAAAAAUAUUUUAGAUUUUCAAAUUGACUUUUAUUCUAUAAAACCGUUUAAAAAAAUUAUUCUAAAAAGCCGUUUUUCAUAACUAUUUUAAAAAACAAUUACUAAAGAAAACAUUAGUGCCUCUUUUCUAAGAAAAAAGAAUUGAAACUCAUUUUAAUUCUAAAUUUAUUAAUUUUUAUUUAAUAAAACUACCUAGUUAACUCCUAGAAAAAACAAAUUUUAAUUUUGAUUUUGAAUCUCACGCUUGAUUUUGAUUUGUUUAAUUUAUUAGGGUUCACCAAUUCGUGGAGUGCGAGUAAGGACGAAAACAUCGGGAUAUAUCGGCAAUAUAUCGGAAAAGGUGGAUGCAAUAUAUAGGUAAAAUAUAUUAUCCGAUAGAAAUAUCUUGAUGAUAUAUCGGUAAUCAUAGAUAUAUCGACAAUACAAGCAAAAUAUCCGCCUUAAAUGAAAAAAUAUUUAAAAUUUUGAAAAUAUAUUAAAUAUAUAGAGAUAUAUCGGUGAAAAAUCGAUUAAAAAAAUUAAAUUAUUAUAAAUAAGUUAAUUUUAAUUAUAUUAUAAUUUAUUUUAUAUACUAAGUAAAUAUAAAACAAAUACAAAAUCAUAAAUAUUUUAUGUGAAAACGUACCAAUAUUUUUAAAUAAAAAUCAUAAAUACAUUUAAAUCACAUAAUCAGUAUAGUUGCAACAAUUUAGUUUUAAAUUAAUAAUUUUAUUUUAUUUUGAUAUUCAAGUAUAAUAAUAAUAUAUUGAGAAUAAAUUUACUUAGUAUAUUUUUAAAUUAAUACAAUACUAAAUUUAAAUUAGUAUAUUUUUAUAAUUAAUUAAUAUAUUUUCAAUAGAUGUAAGUAAAUUAACUUAAUAUAGUAAUAUAUUUAAAUCACAUAAUUAAUAUAUUUAUAAUAAUUUAACUUCAUAAUAAGUAUACACUUACAAAAUUUACUUUUCUUAUUGACCAACACGAUAUAAUUAAAUUUAAUAUCCCAAAUUAUAUAUAUGUCAUUUCUUUCAACAAAACAAUUUUAAAAUGUGUAUUAUACUUUUAAUUUCAUUUUUAAGAGUUUUUUCUCAUAUUUUUAUAAGUUUUGAUUAAUUUUUGAUCUAUCGAUAUUUUGUGUCAAAAUAUCUAUCGAUAUUUUGUGUCAAAAUAUCUAUCGAUAUAACUCCGAUAUAUUCAUAAAAUUUCAUUAUCAAUAUAUUCGUGAUUACUGAUAUUUUCAUUUUUGAGUGUGAGACAUUUAAUAAAUUAGUCUCCAACUUGUUGGUAAUAGCAUGGAGUUGUUGGGGGUGAGGUCCAGACCGGGUGUAAAGAAGAAUUUGCAUUAUUGGUAGUAGUUGCAUUUGUGGUGUUUGAAAUAAGAGAAAAUAAAAGAAAAGAAAAUGGUUUUUGUAAUACAAACUGUACACUAGAAUAUCCAUGUUAUUAUUUAAUAACAUUGCUUAAAAUUAUUCAGAAGUCAUCAAACAUGUAGGCUAUGUUUGGUUGUGAAAAAUUUGAGUGAAAAAAAUUGAGGAAAGUGGAAGGAAAUAAAAAAAGUAAAGAAAAAAAAUAGAUUAAAAAAUAAUAAAUUAUUUUUAUAUGUUUAUUUAAACUCGUUUAAUUUAUUUUUCUCCAUUGUAUCUGUUCGCGGUGCAACAUAUAUGGUGAAGAAAAAUUAUAAGAUUUUUUACGAUUAUGAUGUUUUAUGUCUAUGCGGUAGUUGCUUGCUUUUCUCUCCUCUUCUCUCCCCUUCUCUCAUUUUGUACUAAUUUUUGACAUAGUGAAUUUUCUUCUCCUUCACUUAUAGUUUUUUUCAUUUUUUUUUACGUAAAUUUGUGUGUUUUUAUUUUAUUUUUCUUCAUAUUAUCUAUCAUCAUUUUUUCGUAACAAUAUUAAGAUUAAAUAAUUUCAAUUUACAUAAAUUUCUAAGUAAUUUUAAUUAUAUUUUAUUUUCUUUCAUAUUUUUCAUAGUAAAACUAAACAUAAGAGAACUAUUUUUCUUAGCAUUUUUUUUUUUCUUAAUAUUUUCUGGUAACAAAAUAUAGUUGUAGCCUUAUUUAAGUGUUUUUCUAUUGUACUAACUAUAUACUAAUUUUUUUAUCAAAAUUGAAUUUCACCUGGAAAUGGUUUGAUACACCUCAUUUCUAAACUAACAUAUAAAUAAUAUAUAUAUAUAUAUAUAAUUUUUCUUUUCAAAAAAAAAAAGAGAAAAGAAAACCUAUUUUAACUAAUCUAACCUCAAAUUAAUUCCAUGACAUUACACAUUUUUUUAAGUUAAUCAUUAUAAGUGAUUUCGUUUACAUAUUUUAAUGACAAAAUUUGUUUAAAGUACAAUAUUGUACAAAGUAAAUGUAGAAAAAAAAAAGCCUUAAAAAACAUAAGAAGUGACUUCUGCCAAAAGUAAAAGAAAAAAUAUUAAAAAAAAGAAGAAUAUGUUUUCAUGUUUUAUUUUAUUAUAAGAAAUAUAAAAGAAAUCAAACAAAAUUAAAAUUAGCCAAAAUUUUAUAUAUUUUAAAAUUAUUUAAUCUUUAUAUAUGAGAAUUAAAGCAAGUGAAAUGAGUUGAAGUAGCUUUUUUAUUUUUCUUUUCUUAUGAUUUUCCUUUCUAUUUUUUUCUUCCAUUUUUCUUCAAAUUUUCUGAAUCCAAACAUAACCUAAAAGUUUAAGAAUAUCAAGAGCUAACAUGAGAUGUGGAAUUGACCAAUUCAAAAUUAUUUUGGCAUGCUUGAUAGAACUAUUGUCCAUUUGGGGAAGUUUCUUCUUCUAUAGAAUUCGCCUAUAAACUUUUUCAGAUUUCUACAAGUUCAUAGCAAUUCAAGCACAUUUAUACCAUUCCCUUCAUUUUACAAAUAAUCAAAAUCACUUUUUCAUUCUACCAUUUACUCUUUAAUGUUCUCCUUUCUCUUUACAUUAAUAUCCAUCGUAUCUCUAAAAUUUUCUAUAACCUUGAAAGAGCAGAUAUCCCCAAAGCAACUAUGAGCUUUUUUAGAUUUCUAUGAGGUCGUAGUAACUCAAGCACAUUCAUAUGGUUCCCUUCAUUUUGAAAAUCCUCAAAAUCACUUUGUCAUUCCAUCAUUAACUUUUCAAUGUUCUCCUUUCUCUUUAAAUUAGUAUCCAUCAAUCAGAUCUCCUCCACAUUAUUAAAAUAUUUAGGCUCCAUUUCUUGCAUGACGUUCCAAGGAGGCUAGGGACUCCAUCAUCCAGAUUCCAAGACAGGUGAGAGAUGUAAGAAGAAGACACUCAUCAUUUGAAAGGAAACCAUUUAUGAGAGAACAUCUCAAAUGCACAAUGACGAAAUAAGCUUGGGACUUAUGUGUUAACAAAAAAGUAUUUUAUUCAUUUUUUAUACAUUAUUUUCAAUAGAAAAUAGUUCUCAUUUUCAUUUUCAAACAGGUUCUAGAACUUCUAACUUUUCUCUCACUAGCCUAAGUAACUUAAGCAACAUUGAAAAGACAUCUAUAUUUUGGGGUUAAGCUUCCAAUUGCGUUGAUUAAUGGAGUUGAAGUUUUGGCUGCACCUAGACAUGUAUGUUUAUGGUUUCAUUUUAAGUUGUGUCAUCAGCCCCUCAUCCUCUAAGACAAAAAAGUUUAUGACACAAGAAAUGGGCAUUCGUGAAAGCAAUGAAAUUAAAGGUACAACAAGAUUUACGCAAAAAACCCUCCAAUAAUGAGGGAAAAUCCAUGGGCCAGUAUAGAAAUAAUCCUCUAUGGUAAAAAGGAUAUUAUAGUAUCCUCACAAAUUUCUUUUUAAAAAGAAAGGAAAAAAACUCAAGGUAUUACAACUUUUAAGAAAAUAAAAAUGUUCAAAUCACCAUACCAGAGAACCAAAUCCUAUAGAAACAUCUGCUACUAAUGUCUAAGGAGAAAACAAGCUUCACAUUUCUUACAUUCUACACUAAGCACCAAAACCAAAGAUGGUUGAUUUUGCUUCAGCGACUACAAAUGUAAAAGCACAACAUUGAUGUCCUUAAGUUGAGUUCUUCUUGGAGAGCCAAAAGCGUCAAAAUUCCUUUCAUUUUUAUGCCAUCAACUAGCAGAAAAGUCAUGGUAUGGCAAAUCCAUCGAGCUUCCACCACCUACCACCUUACAUUCAGGAAGUACCAAAAAAAGGGAAAAAAGGGUUAGCCCAAUUGAAUAGAAUUUGCCUAACAAAGCAUUGUAAGUGUGAUCAUUGCCCCCAAUGUGAAAUGCUCCUCAACACUUACGUACACAAACAAUGAACUAUAAAAGUACUCAUUGAAAUUCUAAUUAAGAAGCACUUGAGCUGGUGGAAGAAAUACAAUGGCAUGAAAAUUAUGACUUACACAACAAAGAAACCUAUGAAUUCUAUUCAACAAACAAAAAGGAAAACCAUCAACUAUGAUUGAGUCAAUAACAUACCGUCAUACAUUUGUUAGGAACUUAGUCUGCCACUGCAUUAUUUUUCUCCCUCCUACAUGUAGAAAAGAAGUUUCUAUUAAUUAUAGAAGUGGAUAUUUAGACCAAGGAAAAACAGACUUAAGCAUCGGUGGUUAGUCAAGCAUACCUGGGUGAAGGAAAGAAUGAUCCAUCUCUCAACUUCUAGAGUAGGAAUAACACAACUCAAUUUAAAUUCAUAUUUCCAAUGAGGUCAUGUUGCUGAAUGUUGGAGAUGUAGGCAAUACUGAUCCAAACUUUCUCCUUUCUCUUUUAAGCAAUUUUGUCUCACAACAGGAAAAUUCUGGAUUUCAAGCACUAGGUGUUGUGUUCAGCUCUUUCUUCAGCAGUAGGGACCAAAGCUUAGCACAACUUAAGAUGAAUAGCACUUGAAGAAACUUUCAGCAAAAAUUAAGCUAACCUGAAGUUAGAGAAACAAGCAGAAUGAAUUUUUUAUCCGUAAAGGCCUGGUGCACCAGUGCCACUCAUAGAGAGGCGUCUCAAGCUUCCCACAAUUGAACCCAAACUAAACAAUGGGGCCAAACCCCUUUCCAUAAAUUACGGAACACCUGAACAAUCAAGGAUCAACCUUGGUAAUGAACGUAAAAAUGGAAAAGAAAAAAUUAAUGAACAAAAUUAAAAUAUUAAAAAAAUAAAAAGAAAAAGGGAAAAACCUUGAGUUGUGAUGAGUUUUGAAAUGCACCUUUUGUCUUUCUACAUGUGCAGAAAAAUUAGGGAGUUAAGAUUAUUAUUAUGAUGUUAAUGGAAUUAUGGGAGUAACUUAUUAAUGGGUUGGUCUCCGCUUCCAUUUUUGUGAUUGAAAAAUAAAAUCCAAUUUGAAAUUGAUUCAUGUGUUAAAAACCUAGCUUUUCCCUCUACAUAGGGAUGUGAAAAUCUUAGGUCAAUCAUAUUUACAUGUUAAUUUAAAUAUUUGAGAAAUUAAGAAGCCAGUACCAUUUCUAUGGACAAAAACCAGCUUCAUCAAAUUGUUGGAAUAGAAAUAAGCAAAUGUGUUUGAAAUAUUGAAUGAAGAAACCAGGUCAAUUGGAACUAAACUAAGCAAGUGCAACCAGAAAUCUUCUUAAGAUCAAACUUAAGCCACAAUAAAAUUGUUGCAAUCGAAUGAAUAAUUGAGAACAACAUACUAGCAUGUGAAUAAAGGGUGUUGACUCGAAUUUCAUCUACCUCUUCUAUACUUCUUACAUACAACAAUAUGAGGUCUGUUAGCUUAAGGGUGCCAUGCAAAAGGAAAUAUGAUUUAAUCAUGUAGAAAGAGAAACAUUUUAGAGAACAAGGAAAUAAGAUAGAUGAGAAAAGAAGAUUCUCACAAUUUUAAAAUUUAGAUGAGAAAAUUUGAAUCGUUGAAAUCAAGGAAGGUCAAGUCAUCUAUGAUUCCAUCCAGCAUCCAAUCUACAAUGUCAUAUCCUGGUUACAAAAUUGCAUUAGGAUAGAAAAAUGUAAAAUAAACAAAAACUCAAAAGUAAAAAUAAAAGAAAUUGGAACCAAGUUGCAAAUGGGCGUACUUUGAAUGCCUUCAUAAAUGCAGGGGAUGUGGGCGACGUUAGACCAAUAUUCUCCUCCCUCUUUUAAGUAUCUUUCUUCUAUGGUAGGACAACCAGAGAUGAAAAGUUCUUCAAGUGUUGCAGGAAGCGGCCCUAAGGACCAGAGGUUAGGGCAAUUUGAGAUAUCUAGGGAUCGAAGAGAGAUGAGGUUGCAGAGAGCCAAGGAGGCUAAGGAUUCCAUUCCAUCGAUAUAAAGGCGGGUGAGAGAAAAGAGAAGACGACUCUCUUUAACCGGAAAGGAAACCAUAUCUGGAAACAUUUCCCUAAUAAUCAAAUGAGAAAGAGUGGUCAGGGUGUCGAAGCCCCACUCAGAUAUGGGCGUUUUCAGAUUCUUACAGUUAUUGAUCCCAAGUGAUGCUAGGUUAGGGGCCAAACCCUCUUUCGGAAAGGACUCCAAUCCUAGGCAUUCGGAUAUGGUCAAGCUGCGCAGAGAUUUGAGGUUUCUCAUUUGAUGUGUUAGAGAUUUAAGAUUCUCACAUCCCUCAAUUUUAAGGUAUUCGAGGUUAGGGAUGGACAAGCCUCUUUCUGGAAAGCACUCCAGACCUCCACAAUCGUUUAUGACGAGCUUCCGAAGGCUGUCAAGGCAUCCUUGUAGGCUUUUCAGAUUUGGAUACUCCAUAAGUUGUAAAUACUCUAGGGCUGUACUGUUGGGUGACAUUUUCUCUGACACUGACUCCAAGUUUGUGCAUCUGGUUAUAGAAAGUUUCUUGAGAGUGAAGGGUAACUCCCCUGUUGGAAAGGAAUUGAGAGAGGAACAAUUAUCUAUUAACAAUGUUUCAAGACAACAAGUGUUGCUGCUGGAGGUUGAAUUGUGGUGCAUCAGCCCCUCUGGUAGAGACUCUAGACUUAGACAAUUUCUAAUACGAAGGUUCUUGAGUGUGGUGGGUAGCUCACCAUUUGGGAAGCAUUUGAGAAAUGGAGAACACUCAAUCGUCAAGACUUCAAGCGGACACGAGCUGUAGUUAUGAGGCAGCGAUUUUAGACCCUCACAAUAGAACAACUCUAGGCGUCUUAGCAUUGGUGGGAAACCCGAAUCAGGAAAUGACUCUAGUUUGGGGCAACUCCAUAUCUCCAGCUCUUCAAGACGUGUGAGAGUUUGCAAUCCAUUCGACAGCUUCUCCAGAUUAGCACAAUCACGUAUUUCCAAUUUUUUAAGAUUGCAAGGCAGCCAUUGCUCCUCCCACAAACAUGUCAGCCCAUCACAAUUGUAUAUCCGCAAUUCUUGCAAGGCUACCAAGGAUCUAGUAAAUCCGGUCCUCAAACAUGUCAAUCUUGAAAUCUGGAUGAGAUUUACAGUAACGAGGGAUGGAAGAUCAAACUGAGCACCUCCCAACACUGCCUCAUCGCAUUCUUUUAAAGUUAAUUCACGGAGAGAUGCAAGUUUUGGAAGCCCACACAUCAAUCCCGGACAUUCUAACACUUCAAGCUCUACUAGGGACUGCAGGCAUUUCGGCAAUUCCCCAAUCAGUUUUGGACAUUUCCUCAUAAAAAACUUUUCAAGAUGGGGAAAUGUUCCCACAUUUUCCUUGAUGAAAUUAGAAUGAGACCAAUUUUCCCAUUCUGGCAUAUCCUUAAACCUCAACUCCUUCAAAGAUGCAAAAGGAUUCAUACUCUCUCCAUAAAAUUCAGCACCUAUGCUUUUAACUUGGCUCAUACCUUCAAUACACAAAACCUUGAGCACCGAUAGUCCACCCAGAUUUGGUAAUAACAUGCAUUUUUGGCAAUUUUUGAGAGUUAGUUCCACCAUUACUGAGAAUGAGGGAUCUCCUAACCAACUUGGAAAUUUGGAUCCACCAUAAAAUGCAAUUGUGAGCCUUUUUAAAUUUUCACGAGGCUGCAAGGACUCCAAGACAUGCAGUUCACAUAUAUCGUUUCGUACAUCCCAAGAAUCAUUACUCCACUGCAUCGUCAACUCUUCAAUUUUUUUUUUAUCUUUUAAAUUAGGAGCUCUUGCCUCUCCAACAUCCACUACCUCUUGCAAACUAGAAAUAGAAAGCACUCCUUGGAGGUUCGAACAAUUCUUGAGUUCGUCAAUUCCAACCCCUCUACUUUUGCUCACAAUGAACCUAGUCAACACUUGCAAAUUUGUGAGGUUGCUAAAUUGGAAAGGCAUUUCUCGUAGUCGACUUGUACGUGUAAUAUCAAGGUGCCGAAGGUUUUUCAGCUUUCCAAUCCCUAUAGGCAAUUCGGUAAGUUCAUGACAACCACGUAAUAUCAACGUUUGUAAAUUAUAAAGAUGACCCACUGAAUUAGGUAGACUUUGU
rnacentral:lncRNA from 1 species